rnacentral:rRNA from 1 species
UACGAAGGGGGCUAGCGUUGCUCGGAAUGACUGGGCGUAAAGGGCGCGUAGGCGGUUUGUACAGUCAGGUGUGAAAUUCCCGGGCUCAACCUGGGGGCUGCACUUGUUACGUAUGGACUGGAGUGGGGAAGAGGGUCGUGGAAUUCCCAGUGUAGAGGUGAAAUUCGUAGAUAUUGGGAAGAACACCGGUGGCGAAGGCGGCGACCUGGUCCUUGACUGACGCUGAGGCGCGAAAGCGUGGGGAGCAAUCCGG